UAGUGAAUAAAGGAGAAACCAUCAUUUUGUUGCUUUGGCUUUUUGGAAAAAGCAAAAACCCUUCCUUUCCAAACAUACAAACUCAAUCCACUCUCUCUAUUUCUGCUCAAAACACACCCUCUUGCAUUGCUGAUGUUAUUAAUCUACAAUGGAUUCUCUGGAAGAUACCCAGAAAUGGCACUCACUCAAAUUCGGUUAAGCUCUGUUGUUUGUCGAGUUUAUUACGUGGUUGUAUCCUUCAAAUAGCUCUACCUGUUUGUGGAGAAAAUUUGCUGGCGGUGUACUGAAAUUUAGCUUAGAGCAGAAUUCAUCAGCCAUCACUAUUGGAAGUUUUCGAUACAAUUUCACUCAUAUGAACUUCUCAACCUGUGAGUUUUAGUAUUAGAGCUUUGAGGGGAAUAUACAUAGCUUUUACACCCAAUUUUUUUUUCCCGAUAAUCAAAUGCCUAACUUUUGUUGAGAAUUAAUGAAAAAGUAGGAAGAGGAACACAAAAAACUUAACUCCAGACAAAAGGAGUCAAAAACUAAAAUCGAAAGUGCUUUUACAAAUCGAAAGAGCAGUAUUAUCAAUUCCUUUGACUCCGUCGUCCAUGUCGCAAUUUCAAAGUAGAGAGGAUAUAGCCCAUGCCUGAUUUUGCACCUUGGACCAUUUUGGGUCAGGUAUUUACUUCACUUUUUUCUUUUUGUCGUUUAAGAAUUUGGAAUCAGCAUGCGUUGAACUUGCAUGAAGCAAUUAGCAGAUGUUCUGGCUUUGUGAUUUCUGAGAGUGGCUUUGCUUUAUAAACGUUAUUCGCUUUUGUUGUCUGUAGUAAUUGCAUCACUAUAUUGGUUUUUGUUCAGUUACGUAUUUGAGUUUUGCUCUACAAGGAUUGGAACAAGUCCUCAUAACAGGAGGAAUUCCUCCAAUUGGGAAUGGAUGCACGUCAGAUUCUGUAUACAGAGCAGCAUGGCUUUGAUUGAAAAUGUUACUACAAGAGGUAUCAGCAAGAUGUUGAAACUGUCGGCAGAGUUGUGAAAUACUUAGCCGGAAAUAGAGGUGUGGGGGUUCUUCUUUCUUUGGUGGUGUCUUGACACCCGAAGGACUGCAAACUCUUGCUCUCUCCGCUUUGUGAUCUACUGCACUAUCUCUUAAGGCCUUUUAAUUUUAUUGUUGUUUUUAUUAUUUUUAAUAAGAUAUUUAAAUUAAAGUAAUAUUUAGAGAAAUUUGUGAAAAAAAAGAAAAUUAAAGAUUACCAUAUAUUAAAUUUAGCUUCUAGCUUCCUUCUAACUAAAUUUAAAUUUGGGUGAUGUGAGUUUGAUUUAUUAAAAUUACUUUUUACGAAACAAAUCUUGAAAAUUGUCGUUUUUACUUUAUACUUUAUUGAUGCAAAUAUAGUCAAUAGUAAAUGUUAUUGAAGCAUUUUUCAACA